GAUAUUCAUGUUUGUACAUUUUUUUUUAAUAUCAGAUGUAUACUAGCUAAUAUUGACUAUUAUUUAGAGCUCUGUAAUAAAAAAAAAUAAAUGUAAGCAGAGCUCUAGAUAAUAAGUAUGCAGGGUGGGAGAAAUCUUGGGUCAUUAACAAUUGAUUUUCUGAAAUUUUCAAGAAAGGGGAUUUAUUGGAAAUGCAUCUGAUAUAUGUAAUGUAUAAAACUAUAUUUAAAAGAAAAAGAUGUUAAGAUGAUGAGGAGAGCCACCUUGUCAGCCAAGAGAGCAGCUCUAAGGGAGAUGGUCAAUUUAAUCUUCACCAAGUCUGAGGCUUUACCAUGAAAAAUAUGUGGUUGUUAUAAUGAUGAUGUUUUCAUGGUGUUGGGAGUAAGACUUGGAUGUCUGAUAUUGUUAACAUGUUGGUUAGCAUCAGGUUUCCAUUGGGUUACUUGCUGGGAUAAAGCUGUUAUAAGUUGAAAGAGUUGUUGUUGCUGCCUUCCUUGUAUGGUAAAAUCCUCAGACUAUAAUCCUG